rnacentral:lncRNA from 1 species
CAGGGAAACCCGCUUCUACCCACUAGAGCAAGAAGGCAGCUCUGUGGAUGAUGAAGAGCCCACCCCAGGACUGUCAAGAGAGGUCAUUCGUUUUCUCUUGGAACAGACCAUAAUGAAAGACUCAUAGCUGGUGCUGAUGUUGUGAAAGUGCUGUCACCUGCUCCCCAGAGUCCAUGGAUGUGUGUAGCACAUCUUUCUGUUUCCACCAUUAGCCGUAAGCUUUGCAGGGAGAAGCUUUGAUGGAGCCAGUAAGCACCUUGGUGUGCUACCUCCUACUCACCUUGGCCAAGGCUGCUACUGAUUCAACUAGGGUCGAGUCCUAGCCGAGCUUCUUGCCUUAGUCAGUGCUCCUGAGUGCUGUCCUGGUGACCUGGCCAGAGCUGGGACUUUGGCAGGAAAUCACUUCCCUGAUUGAGUUCAUCCCUUCCCCCACUCACCUACUGGUAUCUCUAGGGCCUUUUCUUUUCUUCGUUUUUUUUUUAAUUUAUUUUUCUUGAAUAUUUUAUGUAUUCACAUUUCAAAUGUUAUCUCUUUUCCCCUCUCCCAUACCUCAUCCCCCUCCUCCUGCUUCUAUGAGACUGCUCCCAUCCACCCACUCCAACCUCAACACCCUGGCAUUCCCCUACAUUGGGGAAAUAGCCUUCACAGGACCAACGGCUUUCCCUCCUAUUGAUGCUGGAUAAUGCCAUCCUCUGCUACAUAUGUGGCUAGAGUCAUGGGUCCGUUCAUGUGUACUUGUUGGUUGUUGGUUUAGUUCUAGGGCCUUUUUUAAAUAAACUUCUUGUAUCUGCA